rnacentral:lncRNA from 10 species
UUUGGCUCCUUUGAAGACUUGGGAUUUUCCUGAAGACAGAAUUCACUUUGGAGUCAGGUCACCAUGAUAGCCUUUUACCAUCUUAGAGCUAAUAUUUUGUGGGCAAUAACCUUGCGAACUGCACAGAGAUUUCAAGUUGAUUAUUUGACUGCCCAAUUGUUUCAAGCUAUGAAAUUGUCAGAUACUUACAAGCACCAUGUGCUGAAAACUACCAUCUUCUGCAGUGCUCACAAGGGUCUGUUUUAAUUGGUGGCUUUACUCAGCCAUGUUUCUGUUUUUCAAACCCCGGAGUCAGUUGGACUGCCUCCAUAUCACCACUUACCACUUCCAAGAGGAGAUGAGUUCCCAGCCCAUCGCUGCAUACCCACCAGCUUGGACGUAGCUCCAGUUGCUGCCAAACAACAGCCUCGAUAACUUUUGAGGUUUCUUCUGUUCCUGGGAGGCUAUGAUUCAGUCUUGUCUUCUAGCAAUAUUAUGGAAACUGCAUGCCAGUAACCUUUUAGAUAUCAUCUUGAUCUUCAUGAUACUGACUCAUAAACUUAAUAACUCUUCUAAUUUGCAAAAGCAAAAAUGUACACUGGAAAGAUCAUUAUGCCCCCGCUAGGUUUGAAGCCUGGCUUCCAAGGCUUAGCUUCCUCAUCAGAAAACAGAGACCUCACCUAUCUCUUCCCCUAGCUGUUGGUAUUGUUGGUUUCCUCUUUUCCUCCUUUAGCUGCAGGAGGCAUUGUUUUAGAAAGAAAAUCUGCUCACAGAAAGAACCAUUCACUUUCUUUUCACCUGUGUGGGGCUAAUCCUGCUGUGCUCCUCUGAGUGGUGGCAACCCUUGGGUUCGUCUCUUACCUGGAGUUGCAAGAGGAGCACAGACACCAUUUCACUUAAGGGCACAUUUUGGAUGUGUGGCAGGGAGCCAGCCCAUUUGUCAUACAAUGAGAGGAAUGAGCCAAAUUAUUCUCAGUUGGGUUCAUAACAAAUUCAGUUGGGGUGGGAGUCUGGAAAUAAAGGAGACAGGAAAUGGUAAUGAAAUGGAAAAUAUAUUUGCAUAAAUGUGUAUAAUUUCCCAAAUCUUCCUGUAGGUUUAGAAAACCCAUGGACUCUGUUGAGACAAUCACUGGUGCUUUUUAGGGCCCCUGUCCCUUUCCUCUGCUCCUGAACAAGCCCGUGAAAAGCGGUCUCAUCUCCAGAGGCCCUUGGAUAGAACUGGAAAG